AAUCUUUACAGAUGUGUAGGUUUGUCUAACCCUUUCUCUCUCUUGUUCUCCCUCUCUCAGCACAAGAAUCACAGGGGGUUCAGUAGAGCCUGAAGAUUAUCUGCCUGCCUAGGACUUCCGGGAACUACCUGCGGUCUCCACGAACCACGUGACAAUCAACGCCAACUUUGUUGACCAAAUAUAUGUAAGUGAUGGAUGGUGAUAAGGAGCUGGAGAAAGCAAUGCGGAGCAUAUCACCCAUCAAGGCUUCAGCCGCCCUCCUCCUCCUCUACUUCCCCUCCGUCCAGUGCUGAGCUCCAGUCCAACAAAGCCACCCUGGUCUGUCCGUCUAGUCAGUCUGUGUGUUUUGCAGAUGUGAGCUGGUUGGCUGCAACCAGACCAGACUUUCCACAUCAGCAGCUAUCUGGCCAUCCAGAUGUCAGACUGGAUAAAGUUAUCACAUCUAAAGUGUAUUCAGCCUAUCAGACCUCAGAGAAAAACAUCAAAAGUCAGACUGUCCCACUGAAAGAUGUGUCUGCAUCCUUGUAAUAAAUGUUGUGACCGUUAGGUGCAGGCGUCAUAUCAGCUUUACAGUUGCUGCUUUUUUCAAGACUCUUUCAAAAAAACAAAUCAACAGAAAUGUGUCUGUAUUUGUA